ACAAAGGAAAAAGAAAAACACUCACCAUUAUUCUGGAUAUUCUUUCUUCUAUUCAGUACUUGCAGAACUACCCAAUGGCGAUUGCUCAGAAACUGUGGAAAAGCUUGACGUCUCUGAAGAAGUAGACUGAUGAUGCAUGUACUCUAAUGUGGGAGUAACUUCUAUAUUGAUAUAAUCACCAUGAUCACCAUGUGAUUCAGAAGAGCCUGGCAUGCUUCCAGCUGAUUCAGAUUGUGCUGGUGAGAAGUCUCCAAUGCUACAAACUGGGUUUGCAUCAUUCAAGUAAUUCAAAGCAUUAACUACCUGCAUUUGUAUCAGAAGAAGAAAACAAAACAAACCCAUCAGAUUUCAUUUGCCCCAGACAUACACAGAUAUUAACCAGAGUCUACUUAGUCAGGUGGACAUACAGCAUCCAUAGCUAAUCUCUUAUGGGGAUCCCUGCUGAGGCAUUUUUCGGCUACCCGAACCAUCCAAUAGAGUUGGUGAACAUCGUGGCAAUCCACAUUCCUGGGGUCGAUUAAAUCUGGGAGAAAGUUCCUCGUCUGGGCUUCCUGGUAUCAUUUCAUCAUAUUUUACAUGGCGGUCUUUGCUGCGUUUUUUGGUGACUGAUUUGCUCCGUCUUUCGGUGACUUGUUUGCUUCUCCCAAAUGGCUUUGGCCCUCUCAAUUUCUCAACACAAUUGUUACGUUUCAUCCUCGAUAUACCACAUGACAACUUCUCCAUGAAAAAUUGCUUGUCUUUCUUCAUCUGCCUGCAUGAACAAAUUAGAAAGGAGCUUUCACAUUGUGGUGUCUCAUUGUUUUCAGAUGGCAGUUUGUUUGAUAAGAAACAUUAUUUUAAUUUACAAGGUUUGGAAGUUUGUAAGGAAGUAUAAAGCUUCAUCAGUAGUGGCUUCAGAAAUUAGAAAAUUGGUGAAGUUAAAUGAUUUCACACAGAACCAUAUGUUUUUCACCUCCCAACUUGUAUUUAGCUAUGGAGUUGCAACAUAAAUUUGUCAUACGACAAUCAUUUGAACACUUUGACUGCCUAAACAACCUUAACACUGUUAGAAUUAGAGCAUUCAUCCCAAAACCAAUUGGCAGUGGGUGGAGAGAUUGAGGGCAUUAUAUAUUAUUUGGAAAGCCUUCAUGUUCUCAAUGUUCAAAAACUACACUUUAUUUUUUUUACAAUACUAUAUUAUUUUGACCUUCAAGUCAAUGUGUUUAGCACCUCCAACUAAUUCAAGCUCAAGGGUGGAUGAAAAUAUCAUCUUCCAAAGGACUUGAGACUGAACUACUGGCAACCACCGUGUAUUUUUAGAAAUUAUUCUCAGUGAUCUAUGUUUGGUGUAGAUUUCUAAUGAAUUGGUAUAUGGGAUAUGAUUUCAUGAACUUGAAACCAUAACUAUGAUCUCUUGAAUUUGAAAUCAUAACUACUAUUGGAGUUUCAAUAAAUCACCAAUGAUUGACUGCUUGAUAACACAAAUUCAUUAGCAUGGAUAAGUUAUUUUUAUUUUUAUAUUUAUGUUAGAUUUUGGCUUAUGAACAAUUUUACUUAUCUGUAUUAAUUUAUUGUGCAAUGUGAAGAGUACACUUCAAACAAGGUUGGAUGAGUAUCGUUGAACACAAUUCAAGCAGAACAAUUUCCAAUUCUUCAAAUAUUUUAAUGACUGACCUGUCAAGAAUCACCCAUGAUGCCCCUAAUCUUAUGGCAGCCUCCACAGCAACCAUCUUGGGAGAGGGACCAGCAAUCACCUCCAUGUUGAACUCAACCUGAGAAAUUUCAUCAGAAAACUGAUCCUGUCAUCGUUCGAUUGACAGAUUAGUUUAAUACAAAAGUACUCUGUCAGCAUAUGAUUGACAGAUGAUUCCUCUACUCUGUUGCACUGCAGGCUGUGAGCACUCUACCAAAUUCUGAAAAAAAUAAAGUGUAUGUUUUCCAACACAAGAUGCACUGGUAUGAUAGUAUAGCAGUACUUAGAUGAAUUAAAUGGAUCAAUUUAUCUGAAACAAAUAGCAGGUAAUCUCCACUUUGUAACAAAUAGUGGCUGCAAUUCAUAUCUGACCUUUGCCCUUUCACAUUGCUGAGAAAUCAUUGUUAUCUCCACUUUGUUACGAUACUCCUCCGCUUUCCUCUCGAGCUCUUCUUCCAUGACUUUCUGGUUUGUUCCGAAAAUAGACCUCGAGUUCAUCUUGGUCCUGUAUCCCACUGAGAAGGACAGAAAAGGUGGAAAAUUGGGUGUUGGGGGAAAUGAUAAGUUAGCAAAGUCUGUUCUGUGUGAUAGAAUCAUACAACUAAGAUAUUAUGUCUAUCAUAUUAAUUGGUUCUUAUGUUUACCAUACUUUCCAAAUUCUUUCUUCCUUUAUUAGAAAAACAAAAAUUAAAUUCUUACACAGUCUGCCAGCUGCCAUGAAAGAUAACGUACUAGGGUUAUUAACCUGGUGAAGAACUGCAAGAAGUGUAAGUUCAUCCCCAGGCUUAAGCAAUAAGCCUUGCAGGACCCAUUCGAUUGCGCUCGAACUAACAAUGUCUUUGGAUGCAUCCUGGAUCACCACUACUUUCUGAACUUCUGCUGCCAUGAUUUUUCUGACUGGAAGUAGUUUUUCUCCCUAUGAAUUUUCAAUAUGAUGAUACAAUGCAGAAAAGAGAAUCGACAAAUGAAGCACCAUAUGAAUAUGAAUUGCAAACUCCACAAAGCCAAAAGACCCAAGAUUGAGUGAGGAUGCGGAAAUAAGGCAAAGGAAACAAAGACUGAGAUGGAGAAUAUGAAUUUCUUUUCCUGUACCUUCUCCUUCUUCGACUUUUUUUGUUUGUUUUAGAUUUGAUUUCUUCCAAUUUUCUGUUAUACUAUUUUGCCAUGUGGUUCAUUAAUCUACUAUAGCAUCUGCGAGACGCGCGUUCUGUGUGGCUUAAAGGUUUCUCAUGUUUGCAUGGCUUAGAGGUUGAAUAUGGUGAGUAGGGUGUACUUAU